CUGUGGUACUCCCGCUGACGUCUUUACCAUCACCACAUCGCGACCUAGCGACGCCGUCUUCGUCAGAGAUUGAGAGACACUUCGGCGACGAUCAGUAUCGCGUUGUGCGACAUCACCGUAACAUCACGUUGUGGUGUUUUUUGAUCGUUGUGUAUUUUGUUCUCUGUUUUUCGACAGACAGUGAUGCGAUUUAUUCGCAACGUGCUAUGAUAUACAUUUAUUGUUCAGUUUUGCGUAAAGCGCAAUAAUUUAUCGUAGAAAAUAUAUCAUUGAAAAACAGACUUUAAAGUUAUAAUUCAGUUUGACAAUCGAGUAAUCUCGAAUAUGGAUCUGUUCGAUAAUUACAAUAAAACGUUAGAGGAGGUAUACCCGUCGCUUUUUUAUCCAAACGAAGACGAUGAUCAUUCUGUACUUGAUAUGGACACUCUGGUCACGUUAAAAACUAAUGCUACACGUAGUUACGAACCUGUCCGAAAAAAAUUUUAUUUUGGUGAUGAAAAUAAUGAAAUCGAUGGUACUGGUUGGUUAUACAAACCUACUAAAAACUGGUGUCAAGAGGAAACAAUAAAUUGGUUGAUGACAGCAGCAUCUACAAUUGGACAACCAUAUAGUCUAAUUCAACAUAGUCUUGCUGUACCGGGAAACGAAUUGAUCACCUUCACCAAAGACGAUUUUAAGGCUCACGAUCCCGCAUACGGAGAUAAGCUCUAUGACUUACUCCCUCCUCAGCAUAUGUUUUCACCACUUGAUACCAUUCAUCCUCAUUUCGAAGACGAAUAUACGCGAAUUAAUUCAUCAAGCAGUACAUCAGAUGCAGAAUCAGAUAAUAAUAGUAUUGACGUUUCCACUACUAAAAGAUCACCGGGUAGACCAAGAAUAUUAAAACCAAAAAAGAAUGCUACCAGCCAAGGAAAGCUUUGGGAGUUCAUUAGAGACCUGUUACGUAAUCGCGAAACAUGUCCAAGUUUAAUCUGUUGGGAAGAUUAUUCUCAGGCAAAAUUUCGUUUCGUUAAAAGCGACGAGGUCGCAAAACGAUGGGGUUCAAGAAAGGGAAAUACAAAAAUGACGUAUGAAAAAUUGAGCCGAGCAAUGAGGUAUUAUUAUAAAAGUAAAAUCUUCCAACCCGUACUUGGUAAAAGAUUAGUUUAUCAAUUUGGACCAAAUGCAAAAGGUUGGCAAACUGACAAUCCGAACUUUCGGCGUUAAAAAUUUAGGAUUUUAUUUUUUGUAAAAAAUGUACAAAAAAUCUGUAAAUGUAUUUUUGAUACCAGAUAAGAAAUUGAAGUAUUUUGAUAGUGAAAUGAAGUGAUUUGAAAUGAAGCGUUUAAGCGUUUAAAAUAUCGAUAAUUAUAAAAGACUAAGAAAAAAUGGAUUUAGUAUUAUAGAUAAUAUAUACUGACUAGAUUUAAAUAAUCUAAAGAAAAGUAUGAAUGAAUAAAAAUGUCGAGAUUUUUCACAUUUUUAUACGUACGAUUGAUUAUGAAAAUACGUGAUAGGCGAAAUGUGAGUACGAAUUAAUUUAGUCUCAUAAGAUUGUUUUUCAAUUUAUUUGAUUUUAAGCAUAUAUCAUAAUAGUUUAUUUUACAUAAAAAGUAUACAUAUUAUAAUCAAGGAAGGCAAUAAUUUUCUGACUUAUGAUCAAAUAAAUUUAUGAUUACUUAUUUUUAUAUAUCACAGAGUUGUGUAUUACAUACCUUAAUCUGGAAGCAUAAGUACUUUUUAAAUUGGACCUGAAUUAUAAGUAAGAUGCAGGUCAAUUUCAAAAAAGGAAACUAAAAUUAUGAAUUCUUAAGCAAUAGAGCAUAUUAAAUUUUUUUCCUAAAAUAAUUUUAAAGGAAUUCCAGAAAAAUUUCGUUAAUGAUUAAUUAUUAGAUGUGGAUACUUAUUCUAUAGCACAUGCAAGAAAGCUGGCAAAUAUAUUUAUAUUUUUAAAAAAUUCUGGACGAUUUGAUUAGUCAUUUAAUAACUAUUAAAUAUUAAACUUCAAGAUAUAUAAUAACCGCGACGGAAGAAGAUAUGCCAGUAACAAGCAUGCAUUUUUUUUUUAAUUCUUUAAAAUUAUUUAUAUACUAUUGGAUUAUAUCUAAUUUGAGCGAAAUUGAAAUCGUUGUUUGUAUAAUAAAUAUAUGUAUAGUAAUAAGAACCACGAUUGCAGUUAUUAACUUGAUCAUUUUUAAAUAUAUGCAUUUAAAGAAAUAUUACUCAAACGAAAUAUUUAUGCAACCAGGGGGUAUAAAUAUUUAAAUAUUUCUGUUACUACUAUUUGAAAAUUAUUUUUAUAAUUUUAAAUUGGAAAAGCUGACAUAUCAUAGUUUUUUUGAAACUACAUAAAACGUUAAUUUUAUAAUCAAUUAUAUAUAAUGUCAGCAAUUAUCAAAAAGGCACAAAUCGUAAAUAAUUUCUAUUUUAAAGUACGCAGCGGCUGUGUUUGAUAUUCAUAUUGAUAUUGAUAAGAAUGUACUUAUGUAAGAUAACUUACGGAAACAAUCAAAUGUGAUCUUUGGUUUAUAUAUAUAUAUAAAAAAAAA